rnacentral:snRNA from 1 species
UACUCCGUGAAUCGGAGGCGGGGU